AAUUACACGUUCUAUGAAUAACAUUAUCUCACAUUUGCAAUGAAAAUACACGCAACACGCACAAUUAUUCCGAGUUUCAAUAAAUCGUAGUAUCUGUGCGUUUAGAUUGCGGCGACUGCACAGGUCCUGGGCGCUGGGGGGUAUUUGUCAGUUCUGGCAACCUAAUUUGCAGUACCAGUUCUCGUUAGCUGACAGGUGUGCUCAACGGUUUACCGAGGAAUAAGGUUGUUACCACUAUCAUCUGGACCCCAGAGAAGAUGAAGCUAAAUCCAACACCACUGUGGACAGGAACAAACAAGCACUCAGCAUAGAUUUGCUGCUGGGAUGUGCUGGAAGUGCCGAAGCCAUCUGUGACAAACAGUCUUCUGCCAGCGAUCGUACAGAAAGUGGGACUGUGUGCAUGGUUAAUCUGAAUGUGACCUCUGAACCCCUCAUGCAACCGAAGCACCUGAGCUCCACUGAACCAAAACAGACUCGGCUUUUAUAACAAAUUGAAAUGAAAAGCCGGACCUCACAGAUGUGUGAUGUGGACGUGCAGGGUCAGCAACGGAGCGGCACUCAUGCAGUCGGCGCGGUGCCACAGACGCUUCAGCAGCAGAUGCUCGCUGUCAAGGGACUUGAGCCAGAACCUUGUAGUUGAAGGUUGGCUCACUUCACCACUGUACUGUAGCCCAGCAGACUGUAAUAUAAACCACCAACGCCUGCAUAUGCUGUGAAUGACCUGUGGGUAUAGUUUGGGUGGCAUUAAACAUCCUGACAUCCUUCCCCUAAUCUGCAUAAUAGUCUGGCUCCUGCGUGGGCUCCAAAGUGCGGUGAAGUCCCGGAGAAACACUUUGAUAUGGCCGACUGAAAAAAAACACUAGAUGCAGACCCAAGACAAAGUGAAGCCGGUCCUCCAAGAUGACUGUGACUGAUGGUGUGGGAGCUGCACAGACUGGACAAGCCCAUAGUGAUACACAGUCAGUAAACCAACAAUCAUUCAUUUUUAUCAUUUGCUUUUCAACUGCGGCGGUUUCUCGCUCCGCUUCGGAUUCCUCUCACGUCAGGUGCCAGAUAUCAGUCAAAGCCACACUGUCCAGACCCACCACGACAACAGGAGCGCAGCUUUAAGCACACGGACGCCUCCGUGGAGCCGGCGAGGCGUGUGGCGCGUGGGUGCUCCAGCUCCCGACCUUUGGCUUCCUUUUCACCCAAAGGGCAGAAAGCGGAUACCUGUGGUGCAGCCCACCAGCUCGCUGAUUGGCGGAGCAGCGGCCAGUUUCAGGUGGUGGAGUCAUUGGGCGGCUCCUUGGUACUGAAGAUGUGUCAGGGAAGGGAGGAGGAAACAGUUCCGUCCUGGGAGUUGGCUGGGUGGUCACGGAGGAGGAUGGUGAUCUGCAGGGUGUGACAGGAAUCUGCUCCACCGUGGCGUCCCCUGUGAACAACAGUGGAGAGGCUUCAGUAAAAGGAGAGAGGAGCACCUUCACCCAGAGGCUGGUCAGCAUCCAAUGCUCCACAGAACACCACUGAAGAUCCUUCCCAUGACCAUCAAACUCUAGUUCUAGUGAACCCUUUGUUAGGGUUCACAAACUGGAUGUUAUUUCUAUCCUAUUAUUCUGUCUGUAUUGAAAGCAAUUAAAAGCAGGCAAAGCAAUUUCUCUGGCAUUAAUAAAGCUUUUUGAAUCAUGAA